AAGAUCUUAAGUUAACCAUCAAACUAUGGGCCUUCAAAGCCUGAAAUAGGUCUAUUAUACCUAGAUCUUG
rnacentral:tRNA from 1 species